AAUAAAUCGCACAACUUCACUCGUCGCGUUCCCGCCAAAAAGUCCUUGAGUCCGUUUCGAUUAAACUUAUAAUUUCGUUACACUCUUUGUUAAUUUAUCUGUUGUUAUAUAAUUAAUCAUCGGAAGAAUAAAAUAAUUACGGAUUAAUGUAAUUAAAUUGUCGAGUUAGCGACCAAAAUAAGUCGUAUUUCUAAGAUAUAUUAACAUAUCAACAAACAUCUUUGUCUUAAUACUUUGCAGUGAAAGAAAACAUGCCGCUAUAAUGGACAUAUUCCAAGAAGCUGGAUGUUUUAAAAUUAGGGCGUUCGCCUCCAUGGCUCAAACGAGUCCGUUCAAGCCAACGCUUCGGUGUGCUUAGUGCGAGUUUUUUAACGUUCUCGUUAGCGCAAAAGUUAACUCAAAUUUGAAUAGGAGGUGGAAGGUUUGCCUGCGUUUGCCGUUAGGGGCGCUGUUUCAACUGCAUACAAGUUUGAGUUAACUUUUGCGCUAACGAGAACGCUAAUUACAGUUAUUAAGAAAUACAUAUUUUAAUCAUGUGUGUUAUUGGUAGGCAUAGUUAUUUACAGAAAGAAUAAAUCUAGUUCUCAUUUACAGAGUGUAGUUUUCAUGUUUGCAAGAAGAUCACAUUUUAACAAUCAAAUAAAUAAACAGGGUUUAAAGUACGUAUUUGCGGCUUGACAUAAGUCGUUCACUCAUAUGCUCGUUUAUCUGCAGUGGUAAUAAAAUUAAACUAGGGAGCACUGCUGUGUCCCGGCAGAAAUAGGCAGGAUGGUAACAUCUGUCUGGUACCGUCGAGACUACGUUAGUGUACCCACGUAUUGGCAGUAUCAUUAAGAAUAGAAAAAGUAUUUUGGUAAAUAAAAGUCCUCCUGCCAAAACACCUACUCCUGAGAAAUAUGUUCUUCAAGAACAGGGUAUAAAAAAUGCAAAUUACAAAAAUUUAAAAUCAUUUAGAAGUCUUCUGACGAUAAUUUUUUUUUAGAAAACAAUUUGUAUGCAUUUAACUGAAAUUAUAUUUUGUGUGUGUGUGUUUUUUUUAUUGCUUAGACUUUAUUGCUUAUUUUAAAGUACUACCUUAGAUACUUAGGUUAGCAAGUUGAGUUUCACGUACACAAAAUAUAUUAUAAUUUGCGUAAUUACUGGUGGUAGGACCUCUUGUGAGUCCGCACGGGUAGGUAAACCCCCCCCCCCCACCCCGCCUAUUUCUGCCGUGAAGCAGUAAUGCGUUUCGGUUUGAAGGGUGGGGCAGCCGUUGUAACUAUACUGAGACCUUAGAACUUAUAUCUCAAGGUGGGUGACGCAUUUACGUUGUUUUUUUUAGUAGGUGAGCUCACGGGGCUAAAACCUGACGACGACGUUGCUAACACGAACCCUAGCAAGAGCCGUGCUUCGCAAAAUCUAACACCGGAUCGGAAACGCGACCCACUGAGAAAAUCCGGCGAGAAACUCAGUGGGAUGUGUCUGUGGGUUAAUUCACUCGUCGAGCCCUUCGUCCAGUCGGGCUCCAGUAACCACUUAACGCCAGGUGGGCCGUGAGCUCGUCCACCCAUCUUAGGAAAAAAACCCCCAAUUGAAUUGCAGUUAAGACUAGUCUGUUAUGUUGACAGGAACGCAUGAUUGCUCCAGUAGAGAAGAUGUAGGUAAGCUGUUAUAGAUCGCAUACAAUUUGUUUAUAAUGUACAAAUAAUAUAUUAUUUUUGUUAUUGUUCUUCUACUUGGUACUGGUACUUGGUAUUAUAUCGUUAUUACAUAACAGUUCUGACAUUACAUCCGCUACAAGCGGCUCAUGCUGUAGGUAGUAUCAUACCUUUAUGAUUAUUAAUUUGAGACACUGAAUAUUUUUAUACAAGAACUGACCUUAGGCAAAAAUGUUUGAAAUAAUUAGAAAUAAAAGUAUACCUCAGGUAAGUCGUAUUAAAGUUGGUAUAAAAAUUAAAAUAUUAUACCUAUUCGAAGGGACCUGUGUAAAUUUUAUUGUUGAAUUUUCGUUUCCAGUAGAUGUAGCUAAAAUAAAAAAAUAAAAUAACCAUAUAUUUGUUGUUUGAAAUAAAUUAGGUAGUAGUUUCAAAAAAAUACUACAUUCGGGUUGAAUUUUUUGUGGUAAGCUCAAACAUAAAAAAAAAACAAAAAAAAUUUCAACCGCCUCUUUAUCUAGUCUCUUGUAGGAGAUUGGCCCAGAAUCCUUACAAGUUGUCGACACCAAACUUUAAAACAUUAGGUUUUGGUGGCUAAAAAUGGCAAGUUAGCUGGAGGAUUGAUAGAACCGAUGAAAGAUUAAAAGUAGCAAUAAUUCGAAAAGGGUGGAUACUUCCGGAUUCCUAUCGUCUUUUAUUUGAAAAAGGUCGUUCGUUCUAGAAACAUUCAUGCUAGAAAAGAACCCGAAACCCGAAAACCAAAGACAAUAAUAAUUGGAAGUGAACUCUGUGGUAUUGUGGUACUAUACCAACAUACAAAUAAUUAUUACAUUGGUUUAAUUUAAACGCAGUUUGGAUACAGUCUUAAAGUGUUGAUGGUUAAGAAUAUUUUAUGCUCCUGGUUAAGAUAUUUUUAAGUAAAAAUAAGUCUGAGUUGUAAAGUAUGUUAGAGAGUAACCGACAUGAGCACCGUCCACGGUAAUAAUAAUUGAGUUGUUUUGAGAGACCAUUUCAACGUAACCUUAACUAGUAGGUGAGCUCACGGAAAUCAAACCUGACUGUGUUGCUAACACGAACCCUAGCAAGAGCCGUGCUUCGCAGAAUCUGCCACCGGAUCGGAAACGCGACCCACUGAGAUGAUCCGGCGAGAAACUCAGUGGGCUGUGUCUGUGGGUUAAUUUAUUCUUUUUUUUUAUUGCUUAGGUGGGUGGACGAGCUCACAGUCCACCUGGUGUUUAAGUGGUUGCUGGAGCCCACAGACAUCUACAACGUAAAUGCGCCACCCACCUUGAGACAUAAGUUCUAAGGUCUCAGGUAUAGUUACAACGCCUACCCCAGCCUUCAAACCGAAACGCAUUACUGCUUCACGGCAGAAAUAAGCAGGGUGGUGGUACCUACCCGCGCGGACUCUCAAGAGGUCCUACCACCAGUAACAAACUCGCCGAGCCCUUCGUCGCAAGCUUUGAUCAACAAUAGUAACUUACUAUUGUUGAUCAAAGUUCGCAAGCGACGGGUUCGACGAGAACGAUGACCGGUGCGAUUGCUAUGCCCCAAAUGCUUGGCUUAAUAUUGUGAUAAAGUUUCACGGAUGGAGAACAAAUCGUAAACGGGAGCUAUUACAAUUCACAUAAUGAUUUGAGUCGGUGAGUCGGUGACUGCCCGUUUGGGAUGCUAUUUAUAAAUAGAUGUUUAAUAAAACACCGAAGCACAGAUUUAUGCACAAAUGUAGCAUAUUUCGGGCGUGUUUACAACCACACAGCUCGGCGUUCUACAUUACAAAAAUAUACGUCUUCAAACACCAACUAAAAAAAAUUGGCUGAUGAAAUUCAGUCUACACGCCGCUCCUCUGACGGAUGUUUGUAUAUGGAUUAAAAGAAAUAUGUACCUACAUCGUGUUACAUUAAUUCUACGUGUGAACUGUAUCGCUAAAAUGCUCCAGAUUCUCAAAAUUUUAUUCCGUUUCUAGAAGCUUUAUAGUGCGCGUUGAAACGUGCUAGUUGUGUUUAUUUUUCUUUUUAUUUCGCCUCUGGAAACGCGAAUUUCGUUUACGGUUUUUUAUCUUUCAUCAUACGCACACAUUUAUGUCGAUUAAGUGUUUGUACAACAUAGUAUCUAUGUGUUAUUAACGUUUAAUCGUGAUGUAUGUGGGUUUUCAUAGGUUUUUUUUUUUAAUUUUAAAUAUCGGACAUAUUAUGUUAGCAUGUUUUAAAGAUUCUAAAAGAUAUCUCAUCAAUAGUUACUUAUUUAAAUUAGACUGAAAAUCGUCAAUAAACACUGGAUAUGACUAAUCUGACGGAACACUGAAGCUUUUAUCGCCGCAUCACGGAAUGGUUCCGAAUAAUUUUAAAAUGUCUUUGAAGUUUUGAUAUGCGUAGAUUAUCGCCAUAGGUACGUACAAAAGCAGGUUUACUACCGCCUGUCUACAAUUUAAUGCGAGCAUGAUAUAUUUUUGUAAUGUAGUCCAUGUGUUAAAAUCAUCCACCGAAACGGCUGGCCGAACUUUAAGCGUUAGGAAUUUGAAGUGACGUGGAAAUAACCUAGUGUUCUAGGAAUAAUUACGUCUGAGACUCGUAAAUUAGACCGUUAAGAUGACAUAAUUAUGAUAAGCUACUUGUGGUCGAAAUUCGAAAACAAGCAUUUUUUUUAAUUUAUAAUUAUUAUAGUUAUAUAAUCAAUAGUUAAUUAAAACGUGUUUUUAGUUUAAUGCACGCGUAUGUCUAAACGGCUUUUUAAAAUAUACCGGAUAUGGGUGAAUCACUAAAACAGACAAACCCGUGGCUCUUUUUGGAAAAAAAAGAUGGAGCAAUCGAUCGAAUCUGUUUUAACACAAGUGCAGAUAAAAACUUUGAUGCGGGGGGAAUUGGUCAAACUAUUUGCCGAACAUUACCGAAACAAAUUUUCAUCUGUUUUCUUUUCACCAACAAUGUAUAAUAUUAUAUUAUACCUACAUUUUAUUAGACCAAUAAGUAUUAUAAAUCAAAGACAAAAAUUUGUUUACUUUUUAAUUUUAGUAAUUUCCAAGCUGUUUAGUUUGUUCACAUGAUCCUACAGCUACGGUAUUACAGAGUCAAUAAUUUAAUAAUUUUUUUUUGUAGAAAGUGAUGCUUCCAGUUUGCUUUCGGUUGGUCCGAAUGACUCUUUAAUCGUUGAUUUGACGUUUGUGCAAGACUUCUGUUCGCGCUCGUUGUUUGGAAUUAUGUUAGGAGCCUUAAAUAUUAAGUGUAUUGUCUAUGGUAGGAGCGGUUUGGCUGUCACGGAUGUUGCCAAAAUCCAUGAGGGGCGGUAGCUACUCAGAAGAUCAAGUGGGCGUUGGAUAGUCUUGCUUCGAUGGCAAUAGCAGUGCACAUAAUUUUAAAGACUCCCGAUAUUUACUCAACCACGAGUUUAUAUUAAUUGUCAUAGAAAUCGUGUACGGGUAGGUUAUAUACUGGUUUUGUGUGUCUUUACGGUUUGAUUAUACCGUUUUGUCGAUCUGCGCUGCUAAGAAGUAAUGCGUUUCGCUUUGUAGGGUAGGGGAUCCGUUAUUUUAGCGCAUUCGGCUUUUCCACCUAUCUCUCAAUGUUGGGAUUGGUAUGCGUGGUUCUCUUAGGUAGAGCCCCGUAGGUGAGCACCUACCAGUCCGAGCGUACUUGGAAUGGCUCCUUAAGCUAUCAACGAUUAGGCACGAGGGAAAAAACGUGUUAGUAUGGACUCGGUGAACCAAAAAUGCCGGCUUGACGUGGAUUUGACUGUACUAAUAAAAACGGGAUUAAGUAUUUAUUUUAUAGAACUGUAUGUAGUCCUAAUAUUUAUUGGUAGUACUAUUAAGUAAAAUACUAAUCGGGACGCAAAAAUUUUAAUUAAUAAAGGCACCUUUUUAAAUGCUCGUUUUCCCAAUGAAUGACCCAAGCAACAAAAUAAUCGUGAGCUAUAAACAUUUUUACACUCAGCGGAAUCAUGCGGUGGUAAAAUUUUACGGCUCGGAUAUUCAUCAAGACUGCUGUAACGAAUAAAAAUAACCUGUCACUAGUUUCAGCUCGACAUUAAUGAAAUUUAUGAGAAAAUUAUACAUAUUUCUCAUCCGAUAAAUCAAGCAGCAGAUUCAUUUAAAAAUCAAAUCGAAAAUAACCUUCGUGUAUGGCCAAUAAAUCAGUACUCCGUUACGUAAAUAAGAUGAAUUGUGGCUCUUCUAUUUGUCAAGAUAUACAAAACGUUUUUGUAAUUACGUGCAAACUAUAGGCUUAAAGCAGCCACUGGUAUCGGGAAUAGAAAAGAAGUUGAAGUGAUUAUUAGUUAGAACACUGAAUAACAUGCAUAAGUACUUACAAAGUUUUUAGAACAAUUCACAAAUUAUCCUCUUGGCCGCAAAACGCUACCCCUGCGUAUACGCACGUCACAGCGCCGCCCAACUCCACCCUGUUAUAUUUUUAAUUUAAAUUCUCGACUCGCGUAUCGAAUCAUAAAAAUAUAAAUAUUUUAGGAUCAACCGAGCGAACAGCACGGAGCGCGCCCCGCCUGCCCAUUGACGCAUUCGUUUCGAACUAAUUUCGGUGCAGCGACUAUUCCGCGAUUCUGUAAACACAGGCGGCGGUGGUAAAACACGACCAGGGAACAGCGACCCCUCUGGAUCUUAUGAAAAAUGAAGCCCUCGUCGCGGAUUCCUCUUCACAACGGGAGGCGUGAUGGGUCAGCGUAGAUCGGAAUCUCCACCAGCACCACAAAAAUGAAAAUGCAACGAUAACUACUGCUGCGACCAAUGUCUUAAGGAAAUGUUGAUACGGCAGUCGACGAAUUUAGGCCGAACCGACGCAGGAGACACGAAAACUUACCAAAUUAAAAUUCAUAACAAAAGGUUUUGUUUUUAAACUGAACACGUGCAGAAUGGCACACAUCCUAAAACGGGACUCAACGUUGCAGCCACGUGCCAGAUUAUUACCGAUUUAGAUAAUAGGUGUUUAGUUUGAUUUGCUAAGCGAGAAAAGCUUUAAACAGGCGAGAACAUUCUUCCGUAGGGUAAACAAACGUUUAGUAACUCUAAAAAAGCGUUGCCUCUUAAUGCCAUUUUGAAUAUCACUACAUUGAUGCAUAUUUUACCAUCGCGUGACGAUCCUAUGAAUAAUACCGAAUAAGAUGUCCGCUCACGGUGUAUCUUUUUUUUUUCUGAUACAUAGUGUUAUGAUUACAGAAGCCUGCAGAUAUCAUAACGUGAAAUCGUCACAGCGCAUCUAUAAAGGUCUCAAAUUAGAACCUGGGACCUGGGACGAAAUCAAAGCAAAAAUAGGCAAAUGGUGCCUAUCAGUGCAGGCCUAUAAUACUUUCCCACUUUUUUUUUCCAUUUAUCAAUCUUUUUUGAGUUUGUUUUUAUUGACGCACGUAAAAAUAAGCGCCCAAUGAAGUGACGUCAUCACAUAUCUUCGCACUUAGUCCACUAAAAGCAACGGUUGGGUGUCGGUUCUUACCACAGAUUAUACACAAUGUAACAAGUUACAUCUAAAAUUAUCGGCUUAAGCUUGGAUAUAAAUAAUUACCAUAUUUCUAAAUUAUUAUAAAUUGGAUUUUGAUGUAUUUUAGGGUAAGAGACGAAACUUAAGUUAUAGAAUGAAUAAUCGAUAAUAUCAAGAAUUGCAGACAAAAAAAACGAUGUACAUAUCACAACCUACACAUAAGCCAAAUUUUAAGAAAAAUGUUAUCCGAAUGACGUCACACGAGAAAAUGACACGCGAGCGAGAAAUGAAUUACUGUAGGUACAGUAUCGUAACUAUUCCGGGCAUUUCAAUGAUAAAAAGGUGCUCCUUGAUAUCACGACUUCAUCGUUACAACUUUGUAAAUGAUUUUGCGAACCCACUAUUAUUCCCAUACGAUAUUUUCCUUGGUCGAAAUAAAACAGCAGAUUUACGAAUUUAAAACUUUAUUCUUCUAUGUCUACGUUUCAUUGUAUGUCAAAUAACUCGUCUGAGCGCCUCGCAGGCCUCGGUCAUCUUCAGACCCUCCAUAGUGUAGAGGAGGUUCUCGACCGACGCGUCUUCGUCGUCGUCGAACCAGAGCUGAAGCAUGUUCUUGGCUCGCGUGACGUCCGUUGCGUUUUCCGUCUCGAAGUACUGGAUCUCGUCCGGCUUGUAGCCGAGCUUCACGGCCAGCGUCUUCCAGUCCGAGAGCUGGGCCGAUACCGCGUCCAGCUGGGCGGGCGUGAUCAUCGUGACGCGGGACCUGGACGACUUCUCGUAGUCGUCGUCGCCGACGUGAGUAGAGUCGGGCACCUGGAGAACACAUACGUCGGUAAGAGUAAAGCCAUCUAUCGCCGAAUAGUCGAACGAAUAUCAAAGGAUCUAGUAGCACCUAGAACGAUCGAGGAGUACGACGCCAUCAAUUUUUUUUUAUUUUUUUUAUUAAGAAGACAAACAGUGAACUUAAACUAUAUAAACUCUAACCUUACAACUAAACACCAUUUAAAUGUCUCCGCAUUUAAAUAACUACAAACGAUUGGGGCGUCGCAUCGCCUAGAACUAAAUAAUUAAAGUAAAACGUAAAACAAAAACAAAAAUAAAACAGUUUGAGAAAAAAAAAACAGAAAAACGUAGUAAAUAGAAAAUAAUUAAUUAAAUAUUUGCAUUCAACCAUCGACUGACUAAUGUUCUCCUAAUACUCUUAGUAGAAGUGUUGAAAAUGUCCAGUUCAGGGAAGUCAGCUAGAGCAUUGAAACUGUUAGCAGCUCUUAUAAAGAAUGCAUUACGUCUGUAAUUGUUGUAAAUCUAUUGUCAGAUAACGGAAACACAAUACUAGAGAUGUGUGGAAUAUUCUCGAUAAUUCUAGGGAUGAGGUAUCGACUAUAAAAACGUCGCAGGGAAGGCAGGCAGUCAGUCUGUAAUCGGAACUACUCAAGCGAAACAGCGGACGCAUCACCUGAAGCGAAGCGGAAGAAGAGAAUUGAGAAUUUUAAAAGUGUAGUGAAUUGUUCUAAGUGUUGAAUAAAGUGUUAACUUGUAA